rnacentral:rRNA from 1 species
GAUGAACGCUGGCGGCGUGCCUAAUACAUGCAAGUAGAACGCUGAAGGAGGAGCUUGCUCUUCUGGAUGAGUUGCGAACGGGUGAGUAACGCGUAGGUAACCUGCCUGGUAGCGGGGGAUAACUAUUGGAAACGAUAGCUAAUACCGCAUGACAACAGUUAUUGCAUGAUAACUGUUUAAAAGGGGCAACUGCUCCACUACCAGAUGGACCUGCGUUGUAUUAGCUAGUUGGUGAGGUAACGGCUCACCAAGGCGACGAUACAUAGCCGACCUGAGAGGGUGAUCGGCCACACUGGGACUGAGACACGGCCCAGACUCCUACGGGAGGCAGCAGUAGGGGAUCUUCGGCAAUGGACGGAAGUCUGACCGAGCAACGCCGCGUGAGUGAAGAAGGGUUUCGGAUCGUAAAGCUCUGUUGUAAGAGAAGAACGAGUGUGAGAGUGGAAAGUUCACACUGUGACGGUAUCUUACCAGAAAGGGACGGCUAACUACGUG